GAUGAACGCUGGCGGCGUGCUUAACACAUGCAAGUCGAACGGGAAUUAUUUUAUUGCAACUUCGGUCGAUUUAAUUUAAUUCUAGUGGCGGACGGGUGAGUAACGCGUGGGUAACCUGCCUUAUACAGGGGGAUAACAGUCAGAAAUGGCUGCUAAUACCGCAUAAGCGCACAGAGCUGCAUGGCUCAGUGUGAAAAACUCCGGUGGUAUAAGAUGGACCCGCGUUGGAUUAGCUGGUUGGUGGGGUAACGGCCCACCAAGGCGACGAUCCAUAGCCGGCCUGAGAGGGUGAACGGCCACAUUGGGUCUGAGACACGGCCCAGACUCCUACGGGAGGCAGCAGUGGGGAAUAUUGCACAAUGGGGGAAACCCUGAUGCAGCGACGCCGCGUGAAGGAAGAAGUAUCUCGGUAUGUAAACUUCUAUCAGCAGGGAAGAUAGUGACGGUACCUGACGAAGAAGCCCCGGCUAACUACGUG
rnacentral:rRNA from 1 species